rnacentral:rRNA from 10 species
UACAACUUUCAACAACGGAUCUCUUGGCUCUCGCAUCGAUGAAGAACGCAGCGAAAUGCGAUAAGUAAUGUGAAUUGCAGAAUUCAGUGAAUCAUCGAAUCUUUGAACGCACCUUGCGCCCCUUGGUAUUCCGAGGGGCAUGCCUGUUUGAGUGUC